CAUGAGAAUUGGAUUCCGAAAGGAAACUCACCUUUGUCGGAGACCUGACGGAUGAAGAAAGAACAGACAGAUGUUCAGUCAACAGACUUCAUAUUCAAUUACUCUCUUAGAAAAGCAGUUCCUUGGGGUUCUGUACUCGCCCCGUGGCACUCAUACAACACAGUCAGCUAGACGUCUCUAAAACAAACAGGAAACAGGAGAGAAUGACCUACCCUUUCUUGACUCGAGUGAAAUCGAAGGCCAUUGCACGCCACUGACCUCAUUGCCGUGGAUACACAUGUGGUGUGUGGUGACGAGCGCUUUGAAGACGACCACCCAGCUGGCAUUCAUGGCCCUCUCGAACAAAGUGUCAGCCAUCUGUGGGAUGUUCACGUUGGUCUCGUUGGUGGCGGCGAUCAGAUCUGUAGAGAAAAUAUAUCAGCAAAGACAAUGAAAGACUCUUAAAAGAAAGAUGAAUAUAUAAUAUUUAUUCUGGUGCUUGGAUUACCGUAACACACAAAUCGGAUUGCAGCUCCCUAAUCAAAGCCACAUCAGAAUGGAUAUCCGAAAAUCUAGAUCAGAUUGAAGACCCAAGAACAGCAUUGUCCAUCGCUGAAUAAGAAUUUUACACACACACAAAAAAAAAAAGCACAAGAAUGGAAA